rnacentral:rRNA from 1 species
GAUGAACGCUGGCGGCGUGCCUAAUACAUGCAAGUCGAGCGAACAGACGAGGAGCUUGUUCCUCUGAUGUUAGCGGCGGAGGGGUGAGUCACAUGUGGAUACUCUACCUAUAAGACGGGGAUAACUUCGGGACACCGGAGCUAAUACCGUAUUAUUUAAUGAACCGUAUGGUUCACUAGUAAAAUGCGGUUGUGCUGUUACUUAUUGGUGGUUCCGUGCCUCAGUAGCUAGUUGGUGAGGUAACGGCUUACCAAGGCAAUGAAUCGUAGCCGACCGGAGAGGGGGAUGGGCCACCCUGGAACGGGACCACGGUCCAAACUCCUACGGGAGGCAGCAGUAGGGAAUCUUCCGCAAUGGGCGAAAUCCGGACGGAGCAACGCCGCGUGAGUGAUGAGGGUCUUCGGAUCGUAAAACUCUGUUAUUAGGGAAGAACAAAUGUGUAAGUAACUAUGCACGUCUUGACGGUACCUAAUCAGAAAGCCACGGCUAACUACGUG